rnacentral:rRNA from 1 species
UACGUAGGGUGCGAGCGUUAAUCGGAAUUACUGGGCGUAAAGCGUGCGCAGGCGGUUUUGUAAGCCAGAUGUGAAAUCCCCGGGCUUAACCUGGGAAUGGCAUUUGGGACUGCAAGGCUUGAGUGCGGCAGAGGAGACUGGAAUUCCUGGUGUAGCAGUGAAAUGCGUAGAUAUCAGGAGGAACACCGAUGGCGAAGGCAGGUCUCUGGGCUGACACUGACGCUCAUGCACGAAAGCGUGGGGAGCAAACUGG